CGGCGAGUGAAGCGGCAAAAGCUCAAAUUUGAAAUCUGGCUCUUUCAGAGUCCGAGUUGUAAUUUGAAGAAGGUAUCUUUGGGUCUGGCUCUUGUCUAUGUUUCUUGGAACAGAACGUCACAGAGGGUGAGAAUCCCGUGCGAUGAGAUGAUCCAGGCCUAUGUAAAGUUCCUUCGAAGAGUCGAGUUGUUUGGGAAUGCAGCUCUAAGUGGGUGGUAAAUUCCAUCUAAAGCUAAAUAUUGGCGAGAGACCGAUAGCGAACAAGUACAGUGAUGGAAAGAUGAAAAGAACUUUGAAAAGAGAGUGAAAAAGUACGUGAAAUUGUUGAAAGGGAAGGGCUUGAGAUCAGACUUGGUAUUUUGUAUGUUACUUCUUCGGGGGUGGCCUCUACAGUUUAUCGGGCCAGCAUCAGUUUGGGCGGUAGGAGAAUUGCGUUGGAAUGUGGCACGGCUUCGGUUGUGUGUUAUAGCCUUCGUCGAUACUGCCAGCCUAGACUGAGGACUGCGGUUUAUACCUAGGAUGUUGGCAUAAUGAUCUUAAGUCGCCC
rnacentral:rRNA from 1 species